AUGUAGGGCAAUCUGUCUUUAAGUACGGGUAAAUUACUCUUAAAGAAAAAAAGGGAAUCCUAGAUAGUUUUCCCUUCAAGUCAAGUGUCUUGU
rnacentral:pre_miRNA from 1 species